GACGAACGCUGGCGGCGUGCUUAACACAUGCGAGUCGAACGGAAAGGCCCUGCUUUUGUGGGGUGCUCGAGCGGCGAACGGGUGAGUAACACGUGAGUAACCUGCCCUUGACUUUGGGAUAACUUCAGGAAACUGGGGCUAAUACCGGAUAGGAGCUCCUGCUGCAUGGUGGGGGUUGGAAAGUUUCGGCGGUUGGGGAUGGACUCGCGGCUUAUCAGCUUGUUGGUGGGGUAGUGGCUUACCAAGGCUUUGACGGGUAGCCGGCCUGAGAGGGUGACCGGCCACAUUGGGACUGAGAUACGGCCCAGACUCCUACGGGAGGCAGCAGUGGGGAAUAUUGCACAAUGGGCGGAAGCCUGAUGCAGCAACGCCGCGUGCGGGAUGACGGCCUUCGGGUUGUAAACCGCUUUCGCCUGUGACGAAGCGUGAGUGACGGUAAUGGGUAAAGAAGCACCGGCUAACUACGUG
rnacentral:rRNA from 1 species